rnacentral:lncRNA from 1 species
UAGGUAAUUGCUUAGCCCGGUGGGUAACUACGGUCUACGGCUAGGGCAGGGGAAUAAAGAACGAGGGAGGGGUCAGUGGCACGACUAAGGAGGCGAUGAUCCUUCCAACAAAUACUCGCGAUUUUUUUUUAGUGUAACUAAAUGAAUAAACUAAAUAAAAAUAAAAGAAAAAAUUGUUAGUUUAUUAUAAAUUAGACUAUAGAAGAACCGUGGAUAUCUAUUUGGAGCACUGGCCUCGUCCUUAGGUAGGACGCGCUGCUCGUGGUCUGGUCGUUUCCGUGAACGGCUACUAUAAGGUCUUGUUUAGUUAAAAAAAAAUCAAAAACUUUUUAAAAUUUCUAGUCACAUCAAACCUUACGGUGCAUAUAUAGAGCAUUAAAUAUAAAUAAACAGAUGACUAAUUACAUAUUUUAUCUAUAAUUUAUAAGACAGAAUUACUAAAUAUAGAUAAAAAUAUUACGAUGUCAAAAUCCAAAAGAGAAAAUAAAUUUUUGGAUCCAAACAAGGCCCUCGCAGGAGAUAGCGCCGGUGCCUGUACAGUACAGUGCUGCGCGCCCGUCCUCCCCGACGGCGCACAGCCACACACCGAGUGAACGGCGUCGAGCUCGCGGCGGCGGCCCAUGGGCGAUGCUCGAAACUGGAAUCAUUACUCCAGACUCUGUUGCAGCAUCUGUCAAAUGGAGACGGGCGGGUCGAUUCAGGAAUCCUGCCGGUACUGCGCAUGGCAAGGAGGCGCUGAAAGCGAGGAGGCCCAUGCGCCGCCUUCCAGCGCGCUGUCAGGCCUUGUUUACUUCACCCUAAAAUCCAAAAUUUUUUUAAAAUUCCCUAUCACAUCGAAUCUUGCGGCACAUGCAUGAAAUAUUAAAUAUAUACAAAAAUAAAAACUAAUCACACAGUUUGACUGUAAAUCGUGAGAUGAAUCUUUUGAGUCUAGUUAGUCUA